UACAGAGGGGGCGAGCGUUGUCCGGAAUUACUGGGCGUAAAGGGCUCGUAGGUGGCCAACUAAGUCAGACGUGAAAUCCCCAGGCUUAACCUGGGAACUGCGUCUGAUACUGGAUGGCUUGAAUUCGGGAGAGGGAUGCAGAAUUCCAGGUGUAGCGGUGAAAUGCGUAGAUAUCUGGAGGAAUACCGGUGGCGAAGGCGGCAUCCUGGACCGAGAUUGACACUGAGGAGCGAAAGCUAGGGGAGCAAACGGG
rnacentral:rRNA from 1 species